AUUGAACGCUGGCGGCAUGCCUUACACAUGCAAGUCGAACGGCAGCGGGGACUUCGGUCCGCCGGCGAGUGGCGAACGGGUGAGUAAUGUAUCGGAACGUACCAUUGAGUGGGGGAUAACGUAGCGAAAGUUACGCUAAUACCGCAUAUUCUCUUCGGAGGAAAGCAGGGGACCGCAAGGCCUUGCGCUCUUUGAGCGGCCGAUAUCAGAUUAGCUAGUUGGUGAGGUAAAGGCUCACCAAGGCGACGAUCUGUAGCGGGUCUGAGAGGAUGAUCCGCCACACUGGAACUGAGACACGGUCCAGACUCCUACGGGAGGCAGCAGUGGGGAAUUUUGGACAAUGGGGGCAACCCUGAUCCAGCCAUGCCGCGUGAGUGAAGAAGGCCUUCGGGUUGUAAAGCUCUUUCGGCCGGGAAAAAAUCGCACAGGCUAAUACUCUGUGUGGAUGACGGUACCGGCAUAAGAAGCACCGGCUAACUACGUGCCAGCCGCCGCUGUAAUAC
rnacentral:rRNA from 1 species